GUUAUCAUGCACCAAUCACGCGAAGGGACAGCCAAUCAAAUAGAACCUUUAGUUUCGUUUUUGCUCAGUCAGAAAGAGAUGGUUCGUGUGUUGUUUUUCUGCUGAUUCCUGUCGAAGUUGUAUGUGUUAAUGACCAAAAACCACACUUAUACACCUAUACACAACCAUGCACAAGAUUGUAUACCAAUGUAACCAGUGAACUUGAAGGACAUUAAAGUAACCUAACUGGAGUUCCUGUCUCUGUGUUCUUACCGACACUCCAUGGCGAUGACCAAGUUAACCUAAGAACCAACACAUCUUCCCUACAAUUGCAUUUCCCAAAAGAACGUUUGAAAAUGUUACUUUCAUAGAGAACUGUGCGUUUGAAAUGGCUCUCCAUAUGGGAUUUCACUUUGCUCAACUUUGUUGGGUGAAACAAAGUGAAACUGCAGAACGGGCAGAGGAAGUCCUUGCAGCAUGUGGGGCAUCUCUUUAGUCCAGGAAAGGAUCUUCCUUCUUGGAUUGUUAUGUGUUUCUUGAAAAAGAGAGAGUCCAAUUGGUCAAAUAAAACAUUUUAAGUUCAUUUCAUAUAAAUAAAUAGACAAUUUAUUUAUUA